AAUUUAGUACGAUUCAGUUGUUUAGAUGUUUAGUGCUUGUAAAUAUCAAAUAGGCCUACUGAAAACAACUAUCUUCUCGUGCUUCCAUUUAAGCAGGGAGAGGUUCUGCAUGCAGUGGAAGGUCCCUGGUUUUCCCCGACCUGCCAGGAUACCAGUUCUUCCUGAGAGUAAUGAGGGCAGUGGCCUCUCCAGAGGUGCUUAGACAUAGGGUGCCCUGGUGACCAUUAGCUUGGCUUACUGUCUCUGCACAUGUUCCUGGUGUCAGCUUUGUCCACAUUGGACUGUUAAAGGUGUCUAACCUCAGCUCUCAAUGACCACUAUGACCUACAGAUGAUGUGGUCCUGUUGGCAUUGUCAGGCUGUGACUUGCAGCAUGCACUGGGGCAGUUUGCAGCUGAGUGCAAGGCGGCCAGGAUAAGGAUCCGCAUCUCCAGUCUGAGGCCAUGGAUCUUGACCGAGAAAGGGUGGAUUGUCCUCUCCUCGUAAGCAAUGAGUUCCUGCUUUAAGUAGAGGUAUUUAAGUAUCUUGGGGACUAAUUGUUCCCAAGUGAGGGAAGAAGGGAGUGGGAGAUUGACAGAGGGAUUGGUGCAGCGUUAGCAGUUAUGUGGAUGCACUUACCAUUCUGUUGUGGUGAAGACAGAGCCAAGAAGGAAGGCAAAGCUUUUGAUUUACCAGUCAAUCUACGUUCCUACCCUCACCAAUGGUCACCAGCUUCGGGCAGUGACUGAAAGAAUAAAACUGCAGAUACAAAUGCCAGAAAUGAGUUUCCACUGCAGGGUGUCUGGGCUCAGCCUUAUUGAUAGGUAGGAGGAGCUUGGACAUUCAGCAGAGCCUCAAAAUAGAGCUACUGCUCCUCUGCAUGGAAAAGAUCCAGGUGAUGUGGUUCAGGCAUCUAUCUAGGAUGCCUCCUGGACGACUUCUUGGAGAGGUAUUUCAGAUAUGUCCAACCGGGAUGAGGCCCCGGGGCAGAUGGACUACCGGGUUCUGAAUGCCAUUACUCAGAAGCGCCAUGAGCUGCUGCCUUUGAUCCCAUCAGCCCUAGAACAGCUCUGUGAGGAGUGUAUCUUUACCAAGCUGGACCUCCACAAUGCCUAUAAUAUGAUGCGCAUCCAGGCCAGGGAUGACUGGAAGAUGGCCUUAAUCAUGGCAAGGCUAUGGCAUCAGUAUGAAUAUCUUGUGAUGCCUUAUGGGUUGGCCAACAGCCCUUCCAUUUUUCAGGGCUUCAUGAGCAGGAUCCUGGUUGAUAUGCUGAACUGGUUCACCAUUGUGUAUAUCAACAGUAUCCUAAUCUACUCUUCUUCCACUGACCAACGCAUGGGACAUGAUCGAUGGGUGACGGGUGCUCCAGCACCUCCGGGACCAACACCUGUCUGUCAAAGGCGAAAAGUGAGUUCCACUAGUCUGUCCUCACGUUCCUAGGGUACCAGAUUCAACCAGUAGGGAUGGAUGAGGAGAAGGUGAAAACUGUCUGGGAUUGACCCUGGCCCCGGACCGUGAAGGAGCUCCAGAACCUUGCCUUUGCCAGCUUCUACCAUUGUUCAUCUGGAGAUUUUGCUUGGUCACAACCCCACUCACCACCCUGAUGAAAGUCACUCUGCUAGACCCUGAAGCUAAGGAAGCUCUCUGGCGCCUCAAGGAGGUGCCCAUCCUCCAGCAGCCUGACCUGUUGACCCCCUUUGUCAUGGAGGUGGACACCACGGAGGUCGGGGUCUGCGCCAUCCUGUCACAGCGACAGGGAGAGACAGGAAGAAUGCACUCUUGCCCCUACUUCUCAUGGAAGCUGACACUGGCAGAGAGGAAUUAUGACAACUGGAACUACAAGCUUCUUGUGAUGAAGCUGGCCCUUGGAAGGCACAGUGCAUCCCUUCCUGGUGUUCACCAGCCACCAAAAACUGGAAUAUAUGAGGUCAACUAAAUGCUAUAACCCCCCUCAAGCCUGAUGGGCCCUCUUUUUCACCAGGUUUGAGUUUAAGGUCUCCUACAUUCCUGGGGCAAAGAACCUCAACGUGGACCUCUGGUUGUGCCAAUGGUGGUGCAUGACAAUCCCAUCCUAAUUCUCCUGCAGUUCCGCUUCCUGAGGCUGGUGACAUGGGACCUGGAAGGAACCCUCUGUGAAGCCCAGCACCAGGAGCCUGCAUCUGGCAACUGCCCUCCCAGCAAGCUCUUUGCCCCUUCUGUCGUCUGCUCUGUUGCACUGUAGUGGGUGCACACCUUCCUUGCCUCUGGCCACACUGACAUUCCUGUCACUGCCCACCUGCUCACCCAUCAAUACUGGUGGUCCAACUGGAGACAAGAAGUAGAGAAGUUUGGAGUGUCCUGCUCGGUCUGCACCCAUCACAGAGUCAGCAAUCAGAAGCCUGCCAGCCUACUCCAGCUGCUUCCCACGCCAGACCAUUCCUGGUUGCAGCUGGCCAUGGACUUCAUCACCGACCUUCCCCCAUCCCAGGGCAACAUUGUCAUCCUCACAGUGGUAGACUGCUUGUCAUGAAUGUGCUGGCUGGUACUCCUCCCCACGCUACAAAUCACUUCUGAGCUGGCCAACCUCCCCCUGACCUUGAUGAUCUGGUACUAUGGUGUACCUGAGGACAUUGUGUCGGACAGGGGGUCACAGUUUGCUGCGAGUGUCUUUCAGGUUUCCUGCACCCGCCUUAAAAUCUCUGUGUGCAUGUCUUCCAGCUACCACCCUCAGACGAAUGGUGUCACGGAGUGGGUAAACCAGGAGGCCACAAAGACCCUUCAGCUACUGUGUGCCUCCAGUCCAUCUCAGUCAGCUCAUGACAUCCAAAACACCCAUUCUCAGCCAGACUCCGACCUCAUGCCCUUCCAGUGCAUUCUGGGGUACCAACCACCCCUGUUCCCCUGGUUCUCCCAUCUCAGUGCAAUCCCUUCAGUAUACGAAUGGUAUCACUGAUGCUGGACUGUGCGGAGGCAAGCCCACUGGCUACUCCAAGCUUGGUCCUACUGGCAGAAGGCACACCUCCACUGUAACCCCAGACCAGCCCUCCAGUCCAGCCAGCAAAGCUGGCUCUCCAUCAGGAACUUCCACCUCCCUGGCUGUUGUAAGUUGUCCCCUAAGUACAUUAGCCCAUGCUGCGUCUUUCACCAGGUCAGGCUCACGACCUUCUGCCUGCAGCUGACCUGUAUCUACCGGAUCUCGCCACCUUCCAGGGGAUAUCGAGGGACCUUUGCCCCCAGUUCUGUUUGACGAUGGUGAAGGCUUCGCGAUCCAGGCCCUCCUGGACUCCUUGCAUCAAUGGGGUAAGCUGCAGUAGCUGGUGGAAUGAGGCGACUUUGGUCCAGAGGAGCAGACCUGGGUACCUGUGGCAGACAUCCUCGACCCCUUGCUGGUAGUCCCUGAACCCCUCGGGUCAUGCCCUCCCUUCUGAGUACGCUAAACCAUCGUGCCUGAGUAGCAACACCUGACGCUCACCUUUAAAACCCCAGGCUGCCUCGCAUGCAGUGAAUGAGACAUACUGAGUGUGCUUACUUUGUCGCCUGUCUGUCUCUGACCCGUCCUGCCAGCCAUGCUCCCAUCCUGUCCCGAUUCCCCGGCUUCCCCCUCUGGCUCUUGGCCAUCUCACUCUGUGACCACAACCUCAAUCCUGGCUAAUUCCAGUCCUGUUCACAGCUGGGUGCCUCCUGAGGUUUCUGUUUUGUGACACAAUCAUAUUUGACUGAUUUGAAUAUUACAUCUUUUGAGACAAUUUUAAUGAUUUUAUAUUUUCAAUAAUUUUCAAGAUAAAUUACAACUGGAGAUUUUAUAGAUUGUUAUUUUCUGAAGAAAUCUUAUAAUGGUCCAAUAAAUAGUGUAUAACACA